CAAUUAGAGAGUUUGAUCCUGGCUCAGGAUGAACGCUGGCGGCGUGCUUAACACAUUCAAGUCGAACGAACUUUAGAAAAAAGCUUGCUUUUAUCUAAAGUUAGUGGCGGACGGGUGAGUAAUACAUGAGCAACCUGCCUUUAAGAGGGGAAUAACACAUGGAAACGUGUGCUAAUACCGCAUAGAGCAUCAGUGAGGCAUCUCACAGAUGGGAAAGGAGCAAUCCGCUUAAAGAUGGGCUCAUGGCUGAUUAGAUAGUUGGUGGGGUAAAGGCCUACCAAGUCGACGAUCGGUAGCCGAACUGAGAGGUUGAACGGCCACAUUGGAACUGAGAAACGGUCCAGACUCCUACGGGAGGCAGCAGUGGGGAAUAUUGGGCAAUGGGCGAAAGCCUGACCCAGCGACGUCGCGUGAGGGAAGAAGGUCUUCGGAUUGUAAACCUUUGUAGGCAGGGACGAAAAAAAUGACGGUACCUGCAAAGUAAGCCACGGCUAACUACGUGCCAGCAGCCGCGGUAAUACGUAGGUGGCGAGCGUUAUCCGGAAUUAUUGGGUGUAAAGGGUGAGUAGGCGGUUUUGCAAGUCAGAUGUGAAAUACUGAAGCUUAACUUCAGAAUUGCAUUUGAAACUGCAAAUCUUGAGAGUCGGAGAGGUAAUCGGAAUUCCCGGUGUAGCGGUAAAAUGCGUAGAGAUCGGGAGGAACACCAGUGGCGAAGGCGGAUUACUGGACGACAACUGACGCUGAGACACGAAAGCGUGGGGAGCAAACAGGAUUAGAUACCCUGGUAGUCCACGCUGUAAACGAUGAAUGCUAGGUGUGGGGUCGAAAGGCUCCGUGCCGGAGUUAACACAAUAAGCAUUCCACCUGGGGAGUACGGCCGCAAGGUUGAAACCCAAAGGAAUUGACGGGAGCCCGCACAAGCAGUGGAGUAUGUGGAUUAAUUCGAUGCAACGCGAAGAACCUUACCAGGGCUUGACAUCCACAGGAGGCCGAGUAAAUUUGGCUGUGCCCCUUCGGGGGAACUGUGAGACAGGUGGUGCAUGGUUGUCGUCAGCUCGUGUCGUGAGAUGUUGGGUUAAGUCCCGCAACGAGCGCAACCCCUACGGUUAGUUGCUACGGAAGAGCACUCUAACAGGACUGCCGUUGAUAAAACGGAGGAAGGUGGGGACGACGUCAAAUCAUCAUGCCCCUUACGCUCUGGGCUUCACACGUACUACAAUGGCGCAAACAGAGGGGAGCAAGGCGGCGACGCGGAGCAAAUCCCAAAAAGGCGCCCCAGUUCAGAUUGCAGGCUGCAACUCGCCUGCAUGAAGUUGGAAUUGCUAGUAAUCGCAAAUCAGAAUGUUGCGGUGAAUACGUACCCGGGCUUUGUACACACCGCCCGUCAAACCACGGGAGUCGGGAAAACCUGAAGUCUGUGUCCUAACCGAAAGGAGGGAGCAGCCGAAGGUGGGUCCGAUGAUUGGGGUUAAGUCGUAACAAGGUAGCCGUAUCGGAAGGUGCGGCUGGAUCACCUCCUUU
rnacentral:rRNA from 1 species